rnacentral:misc_RNA from 1 species
CCGAACCGUCGACACGAGUUGUUGCUGGCCUCCUGAAGGGGGGCAUGUGCACGCUCUGUCUACAUAUCCACUCACACCUGUGCACUCUCUGUAGUCCUGUGGCCUGAGGGACCCUGUUCCUCUGCUGCGGUUCUACGUCUCUAUACACACCCUGUAGUGAAGUCUUAUGGAAUGUGUUCUGCGUUUAACGCAAUAAAAUA